GCCACAGUCUAACUACGUUGCAAGCAGCCGCGGUAAAUACGUAGGUGGCAAGCGUUGUCCGGAUUUAUUGGGCGUAAAGCGCUCGCAGGCGGUCUUUAAGUCUGAUGUGAAAGCCCACGGCUUAAUCCGUGGAGGGUCAAUGGAAACUGGAGGACUUGAGUGCAGAAGAGGAGAGUGGAAUUUCCAUGUGUAGCGGUGAAAUGCGUAGAGAUAUGGAGGAACACCAGUGGCGAAGGCGACUCUCUGGUCUGUAACUGACGCUGAGGAGCGAAAGCGUGGGUAGCGAACAGGAUUAGAUACCCUGGUAGUCCACGCCGUAAACGAUGAGUGCUAGGUGUUAGGGGGUUUCCGCCCCUUAGUGCUGAAGUUAACGCAUUAAGCACUCCGCCUGGGGAGUACGGCCGCAAGGCUGAAACUCAAAAGAAUUGACGGGGACCCGCACAAGCGGUGGAGCAUGUGGUUUAAUUCGAAGCAACGCGAAGAACCUUACCAGGUCUUGACAUCCUUUCGACCUCCCUAGAGAUAGGGAUUUCCCUUCGGGGACGAAAGUGACAGGUGGUGCAUGGUUGUCGUCAGCUCGUGUCGUGAGAUGUUGGGUUAAGUCCCGCAACGAGCGCAACCCUUGAUCUUAGUUGCCAGCAUUAAGUUGGGCACUCUAAGGUGACUGCCGGUGACAAACCGGAGGAAGGUGGGGAUGACGUCAAAUCAUCAUGCCCCUUAUGACCUGGGCUACACACGUGCUACAAUGGAUGGUACAAAGGGCAGCGAAACCGCAAGGUCAAGCAAAUCCCAUAAAACCAUUCUCAGUUCGGAUUGUAGGCUGCAACUCGCCUACAUGAAGCCGGAAUCGCUAGUAAUCGCGGAUCAGCAUGCCGCGGUGAAUACGUUCCCGGGUCUUGUACACACCGCCCGUCACACCACGAGAGUUGGUAACACCCGAAGUCGGAGUAGGUAACAAGUCGAGCCAAUAGUAGCAGAGCUCACCGACCGC
rnacentral:rRNA from 1 species